GGCCAGUGCUGCAUUGUGUGUAUACCGAUGUAGACUUGGUCAUCCGUAGGGGAAGCCAGUUCGGUCUUCAUUGGUCGGCUGGGGGAACUUACAAUUUACUGUGAAAAAAUUAGAGUGUUUCAGGCAGGCAAUAGCUUGGAUACUCCAGCAUGGAAUAAUGGAAUAGGACUUUGGUCUGUUUAUUGGUUUGAGAUCAAAGUA
rnacentral:rRNA from 1 species